rnacentral:rRNA from 1 species
AUAGUGAACCAGUACCGUGAGGGAAAGGCGAAAAGAACCCCGGCGAGGGGAGUGAAAAAGAACCUGAAACCGUGUACGUACAAGCAGUGGGAGCACCUUCGGGUGUGACUGCGUACCUUUUGUAUAAUGGGUCAGCGACUUAUAUUCUGUAGCAAGGUUAACCGUAUAGGGGAGCCGCAGGGAAACCGAGUCUUAACUGGGCGUUAAGUUGCAGGGUAUAGACCCGAAACCCGGUGAUCUAGCCAUGGGCAGGUUGAAGGUUGGGUAACACUAACUGGAGGACCGAACCGACUAAUGUUGAAAAAUUAGCGGAUGACUUGUGGCUGGGGGUGAAAGGCCAAUCAAACCGGGAGAUAGCUGGUUCUCCCCGAAAGCUAUUUAGGUAGCGCCUCGUGAACUCAUCUUCGGGGGUAGAGCACUGUUUCGGCUAGGGGGUCAUCCCGACUUACCAACCCGAUGCAAACUACGAAUACCGAAGAAUGUUAUCA